CCCUUAGAUGUUCUGGGCCGCACGCGCGCUACACUGACGGAUUCAACGAGCUUACAACCUUGGCCGAAAGGUCUGGGUAAUCUCCAAAAUCCGUCGUGAUGGGGAUAGAUUAUUGCAAUUAUUAAUCUUCAACGAGGAAUGCCUAGUAAGCGCAAGUCAUCAGCUUGCGUUGAUUACGUCCCUGCCCUUUGUACACACCGCCCGUCGCUCCUACCGAUUGAAUGGCCCGGUGAAGCGUUUGGACUAUGGUUUUCUGAUGGUCCGCCGUUGGAUUACCGUGGGAAGUUCGUUAAACCUUAUCAUUUAGAGGAAGGAGAAGUCGUAACA
rnacentral:rRNA from 1 species